rnacentral:lncRNA from 10 species
CACAGCGCCCGGCCACAUGAAGAUUUUUUUAAAGUAAGAAAAUGUUUAAAUAGUAGAAAAUAAGGGUACUACUAAGACCAGGAAGGAAAGGCGGCUGGUGCUGGAAUGGGGCAUUGCCGGACCCAGGGCAGUGACUGUGCUGCCUGGGAGAGUAAGCGACAGACGCUGUGAGAAAGGGGAGUUGAGCUCCUUCCUUCGGAAAACACUGCAAUGGGAUCUCAUCAGGCAGCUCUGAGAGUAGAGGGGUCCUCAACAGUCGUGCCAGGACAGCGUGUGCCUAGGAACUGCUCUUGGGGACUCUCACAGGCGCCCUGCACUGCCCCUGCUGUGCGUGUCUCCUGUUGCCUGGGAAGCUAAAGGGACUGUGGUCCAGGCCUGCCAUUGGCUCCCAAGAACCCCGCCUCCUGGUGACACCCCCUCCUCUUGAGUGUGGGUGAGACCUGAAGACUCACUUUUACCAAAUGGAAUAUGGAAAAGAUGUGGCCUCUGAGGUUGUUAUAAAACAACUGUGACUUCAUGGGGCUCUCCGUCCCUCACUCUCUGCAAAUCUCUCACUCUGGGGCAACAGGCUCCCCCCCCGUGAGCUGCCCCGUGGAGAAGCCCAUGAGGCAUGGAACCCAGAACCUAAGACCUGCCAGCGCCCCCUGUGUAAGCCUGGACGCCAUCCUCCCGAGUCGGGCCUGGAGAGGGCCCCAGCCCCAGCCCCAGACCCAGCCGACGCUCUGAAUGACACCCCACGAAAGGCCUUGAGUGAGAGAACGCAGGUCGUUCUUAUUAAAUAUUGACAGAUGCAAAAAGAUAAACAUAGUAAGAUAUCAAGAAUAGAUGCAAUGCACACCCAGGCCCCAGCAGUAUCCUUGCAAGUCCUCCUGAGCCUGUCUCCAUCCUGCCCCCCUGCCAGAGAUGGAGUUUCACUCUUAUGCCCAGGCUGGAGUGAGUGGUGCGAUCUCGGCUCACUGCAACCUUUCCGGCUCACUGCAACCUCUGUCCCCCAGGUUCAAGCGAUUCUCCUGCUUCAGCCUCCCAAGUAGUUGGGAUUACAGGCGCCCGCCACCACGCCUGGCUAAUUUUUGUAUUUUUACUAGAGACAGAGUUUUGCCAUGUUGGCCAGGCUGGUGUCGAACUCCUGACCUGAAGUCAUCCACCCACCUCGGCCUCCCAAAGUGCUAGGAUUACAGGCAUGAGCCACUGUGCCUGGCCGACAAAUUCUUUGAGCACUUUUGAUACGUAAGGAAAGUGCUGUGAGGGAAAGAGCCUGGUCCCUUUAAAUGAUAUGGGAGGGGGGGAAGGGAAGUGCUGGGUAGAGUAGGGCGUGGUCCCUAGCUAGGGCUCUACCCCCAUGGACCUAGGUGAGGACAGGCAAUUCAGGCAUUUCCUGCAUUUCCCAAGACCGCCCUGGCCUGCCACGCCCCUAUAAUGUGCCUUUAAAAGCCCAAGACCGUCGCUAGGCACAGACGGAAGUGACUGGAUGUGGAGAGGAGUGUAUCCGCGAAGGAACGCACAAGUGGCCUGACCUGCAGAAGAACGCUAGCUAGGCACUAGGCAUGCCGGCAAGGUCAGCUGAGAGCUGACCCCAGUGCAACGUGGAGGAGUUUGGUUGGGGCAGUCGGAGGAGCACCUGGGCCGCCAAGCGGCCAGACUUCGGGGGAAAGCCAUCUCUCUUCUGGCGCCUUUAUCGGCAGAGAGCUACUUGUACUCAAAACCUUGCACUCAUUCUCCAAGCCCACGUGGGUAAGAUUCACCCACACUGCGGAGGGCGUCGGAGCUCCACAGCCUGCCUGUCUGUAUGCUCCCAUAGAGGUUUGAGCAGCGGGGCACUGGAGAAGCAAGUCACACCCCCAUUGCACGCCAUGGGAGUAGGACAAGGAUUCAACAGAGUUGGAUUGCUGAGAAUAAAAUUACGGAUUUCUCCAUAAUGGACACACGCACUUUUUGUUUGUGCUGUUUCCUUUAGAAUGGACGAUGAGUCAAAAUUGUUCGUUUAUGCUUCUUCACAGAAGGAUCUUCUGUGUCGUAGGAGGUGGCCUGCAGCAAUCUGGACAUUCAGUGGUCCUCCUGUGAUUAAUAGGUGAACGGAUGAGCUAUUCUGAUAAGAACUGGGGAACUUUUGCCAUUCAAAAGCAAAUAGAAGAACUGGGAGAUUCCUCAACUUAGCUUUUCUUUUUUUUGGUUCUAAAGUGACUGCGAAUGGAGGUAGAAGAGAAGAAAAGCUUUCAAAAACAUCUUCCAUUAAGAAAAAUAUGUAUCUUCAUGAAGACCUAUCUGAGUAAAAUUACUAAAACAUAAUGGCUUUCUUGAAAUAGAAUGGAAUGAAAGGCAUAUUAGGGAGUAUGAAAGUAUGAAGAUUUUAUUAACAUACUUCUAGAAGUUUAUUAAAUAUCUGCACAGGAACUGUAAUUUGAGAUCAGUGGUGGAAAGAGAAUAAAGGAAUCACGUGGACAUCAGCUCUGAGGCCUGUGGCCCCACUUGCUUCUGGGCUUUCUAUAGACAUUUGCUGGUGACCUGCCCAGGCAGGCUAGAGUACCCUUCCUCAUUGCACCCUGUGUUCCCAUCCUCUUUUCCUUCCUUCCUUCCUUCCUUCCUUCCUUCCUUCCUUUCUUCCUCCAUCCCUUAUGAAACCCUCGUUGUGCAGUUACUUAUUAGGUGCUGUGUGAGCGUCUGAAGUCUCCCCUCACCCACUUUUCCAUUUGGGCCACUUGGCCAGUGAUUGCAUCAGUACCAGGGUUCUAGGAGCCAUGCAGGGAUCCCCAGUGGGCAGAGCUGGCCGUAGCAUUUGGAAAGGAAGAGAGAGAACUGGAGACAAUGCCUAGGAACAAAAGCAGAGUCCAGACCCAGGCAUCAAGUGCAAAUCCAAAGGCUCUGGAUGAGUCAGUUCCCAGCAAAGGGACACAAGUAGGCACAGAAGGAAGGACAGCAGAAAACACUGGUCCAGAGAGGGCCUGCAGAGCCAGAAGCGAUGACGCAUCCAAGGUUGUGUUUGACUUCUGCACUGCCUCUGCAACCUGUAAGCACAUCUGAGCCAGUUCAGAAAGUAGGAAAACCAAAGUAUAUCAGAAAUGGCCUCUUAUCAUCAAGGAGAUUUUGGUCUAGAUUGCUUAUUGCUCAGGAGAAAUCACCACUUUUUAAAAAGAUAUGCUGAGAUAGGGUUUAGUUGGGAUAGAAAAGGUUAUUAAACUACGGGACACCCUUCCUUUACAGAGUGUAAGCACUACUACCCCUUUUGUUUGUCUGUUUUUCUUAUUUUUCUCACAGAUGCAGUUCCUGCAUUAGUAUUGAUAAAUGUGUGGCUGCUCCACUUGGAGUGUUUUCAAAGCAUAAAUCACAGCAUUGAUGGUGCUGUGGUUUGGCUCUUCCAGCCCUCUUAACAACGGUCUGAUGGACUUGGCGAGAGUCUAGCCACGUGUUCUGGCCUCUGUCACUCUCAUGGCUGAAACGCAUGCACACCCACAGAUGGGGGCCCCGUGGUAGAGAUGUGCCUCUACUUGUCAAAUAGACUGACUCCAAAUUCGGAAAUAUGCCUCAGGAAUCUAGAAAGAUAGAAAAGGAGUCUUCGUCACUGUAGGGUCUCAUUCACAAUAUGGAGGAGAGAUGGAGGGGAGUUUUUGGUAUAAAUUUUGCCUCAUAAAAAUUCUCCACGUUGUUUUGUACUGUAUGAGGGUAGCGAGAAAUUAGUUGAUGGUUAACAAUCAAGCUGGAGAAGAAUAUCCUCAAUUUUUCACAUGGAAAAUGAAAAACUACAACUCCUUCCAAAUAUAUGUAUGUUUCUUUUCUGAAGAUAGACGUGUGUGUGUUUGUGUGUAUCAUAUAACAUUUAUUUUUUGAUUUCUUUGUUAUCAACAGUAAAAAUACAGAAAAUGAUGCCAAAGAGAAUUUCUGAUUUUUCUUUCCUUGUUUUCCAUUAAAGUGUAUUACAAAUAAUGUCUUCAAACACAAUAGCAUGCAUAGUGGCUUAAAUUGGAUUCUUCCUGGGCCACUCUGUUUAGGAUCCAGGUUUUUAACAUUGUUCUUCUAAGUGCAUCCAUGUUUCCUGAGAUCCACAAAGCUUGAUCUCAUCCGUGGAACCACCUGGCCUAGAACCAGCUGCG